AUAUAAUGAUGGAAGUGAUUAUAAUUUACCAUUCUUUGAUGUCUUACGAAUAUAAUGAUGGAAGUGAUAUUACUUGACAAUAAUGAUGUCAUAUGAAUAUAAUGAUAUCAUGUAAGUAUAUUGAAGUGAUGUGACUUGACAAUAAUGAUGUCAUAUGAAUCUAAUGAUGUCAUAUUAUGUAAUUAUAUUUAUAAUGAUGUAAUGUUAUAAUAUAAUGGGACUUGACAAUAGUGAUACGAUGUGACUUCACAGUUCACACUAUGGUUUGGAAUUGGAAAAGAACACAUGUUAUAUAUAAUGUAACUAUGAAUAAUCAUACUACUAUUCCAUCACGAGUGCAACUAGGCGCAUAGCUCCUAUAUGUUUAGGAUUCAUAUAGGAGGAUUAAUUGGUAAAUUCACUUAGUUUUUGAGAUUUUUUUAUUGCUACAGUGGUAUUUUUAAUGUACCAUUAUACUUAUAGUGGAAUGUUUAAAGUACUAAUAGAGUAUAAGCUAUUUUACUAGUACUAUUACAGCUAUUAUAGGUAACAGUGGUACAAAUAUUGUACCACUAGGGAAAAAUAAUAAUUCACCACUACUUUGUCGUAUAGCUGCUAUUUACUAGGCAUGUAAAUAGCAGCUAUGCGACAAUACUUAACCUUCCAUCACAUGUAUGUUAAUUGAUGUGUCGAUUGAUAGACUAUGGAUAGUAAUUAUACUUUUAUGGAAUCAUCAUAGCAGUACUAUUCAUGUUUGUAAUCUAAGUAUCAUAUCUCAUCUCAUAUUCUAUCAUCAAUUAACACAAAAUGUCCCUCAAUCUCCAUGUCCCGGGGUCAAUUGGCACCUUCCCUAUAUUAAACAACAUCGAAAAAUGAGCAGUAAGGGUAAUAUGGGAUGUACCAAAGUGUCAAAAAUACAUCCCCCCUACCAUUCCAAACCUUUUUCCCAUCUUUAGGGGUUGUUUCAGCAACUUUUCCAAGUUUACAACUUGCACCGAUUUCAUUAACUCAAGCCUACCACGAACAUAUAUGACAACAAAUAAUGAUCAUAUAUGGUUCCAAACGGCAUUAUAUGACCCCAAAAUGUAUCCCCUAUAAUUUUAUAACUUUUCGACACCGGGCGCCAAAACCUCCAAAAUUUCUCAAAAAGCGUGAAUAUUAUACUUCAAUUUUGGAAUUUUUUUGAUAAUUUUUUCGCCCGGAAAUAAAAAUUGACGAAAUGGUUACCAUGGUCCCUAAUAGCCUCCGGUUUCGGGGCCUUUCCCGAGCGUCGAAUAGUCAACUCAGAACUAGUACGGACAAGGGGAAUCCGACUAUUUAAUUAAAACAAAGUAUUGCGAUGGUCCCUACGGAUGUUAACGCAAGGUGAGUUCUGCCCAGUGCUCUAAAUAUCAAAGUGAAGAAAUUCAACCAAGUGCGGGUAAACAGUGGGAGUAACUAUGACUCUCUUAAGGUAGCCAAAUGCCUCGUCAUCUAAUUAAUGACGUGCAUGAAUGGAUUAACGAGAUUCCCACUGUCCCUGUCUACUAUCCAGCGAAACCUCAGCCAAGGGAACGGGCUUGGCAGAAUCAGCGAGGAAAGAAGACCCAGUUGAUUUUUACUCUAGUCCGACAUUGUGAAAUGACUUGAUAAGUGUAGGAUAAGUGGGAGCUUCGGCACAACGGAAAUACCACUACUUUUUACGUUAUAUUACUUACUCCUUGAUUCGGAAGCAGGGCAAUGCCCCUCCUUUUAGACCUAAGGUCCGCUUUGCGGGCUAAUCCGGGAGGAGGAUAUUGUCAGAUGGGGAUUUUGGCUGGGGAGGCACAUUAGUUAAAAGAUAACGCAGGUUCCUAAGAUUAGCUCAACAAGAAAAGAAAUCUCGUGUGGAACAAAAGGGUAAAAGCUCGUUUGAUUCUAAUUUUCAGUACGAAUACGAACCGUGAAAGUGUGGCCUAACGAUCCCUUAGACCUUUUAAAAUUAAAGCUAGAGAUGUCAAAAAGUUACCACAGGGAUAACUGGCUUGUGGCAGCUAAGCGUUCAUAGCGAUGUUGCUUUUUAAUCCUUUGAUGUCGGCUCUUCCUAACACUGUGAAGUAGAACGCACCAAGUGUUGGAUUGUUCACCCACUAAUAGGGAACGUGAGCCGGGUUUAGGCAGUUGUGAGAUAGGUUGGUUUUACCCUACUGAUGAUAGUGUCGCAAUGGUAAUUCAACCUACUACGAGAGGAACCGUUGAUUCACACAAUUGGUCAUCGCGCUUGGUUGAAAAUCCAGUGGCGCGAAGCUACCGUGUGCUGGAUUAUAACUAAACGCCUCUAAGUCAGAAUCUGGGCCACAAACGAUACAUGCGCCCGCCUCUCGAUUGUCGUCCUAUAAUAGGGACUUCGGCCCCCAAGGGCACGUGUCGUGGUGUUAGAAUCCAAAUUCUUUUGAUGUAUUAGUUUUCCUUUAGGUGCUCUCUUAGAGUUUAGUUUAUGUUUUCUUAGCUUGAGGUCCCGUUAUU
rnacentral:rRNA from 1 species